UUAGCGUUAGCCAUGAAUAAAACAUUAAGUACUGUGAGGUGGAAAUUGCAGAACCGCCAAUAAAGAGGCAGACAAGCUUGAGAAAUGGAUUAUGGUUAUAAAGGAAAAAAAAGAAGGAGCAGGAGAAUCGGUUUAUGCUACGUUGCUAAUCUGAGGAGGAUUACGGGGCUGAUACUGCGCUGGGGCGCAGGAGCAGAUCAAACAGCCCUGGGAUUAACUUCUGCAGAGCUGGGCCGUUUCGUGUUUUGUGUUUCCGACAGGUUUACAGGUCAGAGGUCCAGAACGAGCCGGCGGUGACCCAGUACCAGGCAGAAGAGGAUUUGCUACCAGAAGUCUGUGACAGCUUUCUGUUCAAGAGGCUACAAACCAUGAAGUCACACUACCAAGAAGAAAAAAAAUUCUUCAGAUGCUGCAUUCAGACACAAGGCUGCGUAAACAGAGUUCGGCCAAAGAGAGCAAUAGAAGAAAGGAAGGCAAAAAGAAAGAGGGACUGUGUGUGUGUGUGUGUGCGGGUGUGAGGCGGUUGCUACAGCCGUCUCUACGGGCAACCGGAGAAGAACCCUCCACCUCUCCGAGCACAAAGAAUUAAACACGAUCCUAUACGGAAUUAUUUUAAUUCCACAUGUCUGUCUGAAUCCACGGGAAACUGGGAACUGACCCUCCUCACGUCCUGUCUGCUGAAGAUACGGUAUUAAAAAGACAAGCCGACAGGCAGCAGAGCCGGAGCCAGCAGAGAGCCAGGUGCUGAGCUGGUAGAGCAGCCAGGCUGGGAAUGCAAGCUCGCUGGAUUGCUCACACACAGACUCCUGCGCUGCUCUGAGCCGGGCUUGAGUUCUAUAUUGUUUUAGAGCUCACAGGCAGGAGGAGCGCUGGCUGCUGGCAUGACGCGAGUCACAGUGCCAGCGGACAAUCAAGCUACAAGCAGUAAUGCCAGUCAUAAUUAAUGCCCACUGUGUCGCCCACACCAAUUAAUUGAAACGAUAUUGCAUUGAGACGCAGCGCCAGGUGUCUUUUGAAAGCUGCAGAACUACACAAGAGCUUGUUUCUAAACAUUUUCCAGAACAAAAAGUACACCUACAACUUUUUGUUUUACUUAGAAACUCAUUGAAACAUUACACACUGAAGUGCUUUGGAACAUGAAGGGGUGUCAUGUAUGUGAUGUCUUGAGCCAGACUUGACAGUUAGUACCAUGGACACAAGCUUGAGCAAGAGCGAUAGCAUUUGUUUCACUUAUUGAGGAUUUCCCUUUUUUUUUAUUUAAGCAACUUCCUUAUUAACCAACGUACAGUUUGGAAACUCAAUACAUCGCAUGAAUUCGAACACCUAGAGACAAGCUGGUUGGAUUUCUCUUUUUCAACAGUGACAACAUCGGCAUG